rnacentral:lncRNA from 1 species
AGUCCGGCUACUAUACUUUUAUGAGUAUGAUCGCAUUCAUACUCAUAAGUUGUUUUCGAUAAUAGAGCUUCCGAAUCGACAAUCCAGACUGUUAAACAUUAUCUAGAGCAUUUAAAACUUUUAGAAAUCAAAUUUUAUAAUUUUUCGAUAUCAUUUACCUUACGAUCAAAAGCUCACAAAAUUGACAAUUUUUAACGAUCGGUAUGUGUACUUGCUAGUUUAACGGUGAAAAAGAAUCAAAAUAGCUUGAAUUUUUGAUAGAAAAUUAUAUUCAUUAUCUAUAUAAAGAUCAAUAACCCCAAUCUUAAAUUGAAGAAUCCGAUCAUCCAUUUUUUGGACAUCAUUCGAUUUUGACCGUUUAUUUUAUAU